rnacentral:rRNA from 1 species
AUACGUAGGUGGCAAGCGUUGUCCGGAAUUAUUGGGCGUAAAGCGCGCGCAGGUGGUUCCUUAAGUCUGAUGUGAAAGCCCCCGGCUCAACCGGGGAGGGUCAUUGGAAACUGGGGAACUUGAGUGCAGAAGAGGAUAGUGGAAUUCCAAGUGUAGCGGUGAAAUGCGUAGAGAUUUGGAGGAACACCAGUGGCGAAGGCGACUGUCUGGUCUGUAACUGACACUGAGGCGCGAAAGCGUGGGGAGCAAACAGGAUUAGAUACCCUGGUAGUCCACGCCGUAAACGAUGAGUGCUAAGUGUUGGGGGGUUUCCGCCCCUCAGUGCUGCAGCUAACGCAUUAGGCACUCCGCCUGGGGAGUAUGGUCGCAAGACUGAAACUCAAAGGAAUUGACGGGG